rnacentral:lncRNA from 1 species
UGCGCAACCCCUCUUGUCUGAAAUUCCUUCUAGUUUGUUGACUGAAAUAUUUUAGAAAGACCGUAAUCCCAUCUGUAAUGGUAUCAGAAUUUCUGGUUGUGACAGACAAUGGUUAAAUUUUGUUGGCUUUGCUCUGUUUCUUUAUCUGGUCUCAUUUACUAAAUCACCAUCUUUUGAAUCUCAUGAAGAAUCAACUUGGAAAAUUUAUCCAUAUAUUUAGAUUUUCUUUGCAUUUGAAGUAUCAAGAGACAGUUCUUCCCCUUGAAAGUUUGCAGAUUUAUAUUGACAUGUUGAGAAGAAAUGUGCAAAAUACUUUCGCUUUACCAUGACCAUCUAUGGACUUCAAUUAGUUGUACAUUGUUUAUGAAAACAUAAUCAUCUAAAGCAGAUCGCACGCAAUACACUUACCUGGAUUUGGAAAGCAUAAGAAAGAAAAGGAAAAGAUGGAUUAGGGGUAUCUACUUUAUGCUUAAUGAAAUUAAUUUUGACUGCAGAUACUUAGCAACAGUCAUUCACAGGUGGAUGAAUUUAGAGAUAAAUCAAUAGAUGCUUUCUUCAGGAAAUAAAUGCUUAUGUUCAUUAACAUUGUAGCACCUACCUUAUAGUAUUCUUGAAAGCGGAGUCCUACUUUUUCAUCGUUGACUUGGACUAAUGCUAUUUAUGGCUCAUCCUAGUAUAUAAUUCCCU